CUUAAAUCGGCCUUCUCGUCUUAAACAGGUUCAUCUCCAUCAUCAAGAAGACCAAUGGGAGCAAACCUGGAGAUGAGUGCUGCAAUCCAUCCAUGUGGAUGGAUGGAUUUCAGUGUUGAGUCCUUUGUGCCAGAGCUUCCCACUGCAUUUCAGACCUGGUUACAGGAAACUUGUCUGAUGGAGGAAAACAAAGUUCUGUUUCCCUUCCCAUUCCUCCUGACUCUAAGCAGCAUCACACCAUGUUCUUCCUGCCUGGCUGACACAAGAGCAAUGCCAGUACGGGCCAGUGCUAAAAGACCAGAUCUCUUAAGGGAUGCAAAGAACUUGGAAACUGUGCUGAUGGACAUCGUAGACACAGAAAGUGGUGCCCUCUGCACUGACCACGGAGCGGAGUUCAGUGAGAUGGGUUAUGUCAGGAGAAUCUUCAGUCUUACAAUUGUCUCCCAAUAAACUUCUUCUACACUCCCUGAGACAGGAAGAAAUCUAUAGUGAAAUAAGCUUGUAGGAGCAGCACUAUAAAUCCACGGCAUAAGGAAAAAUGGUUCUUUGACUUCCUUCACAAUAUAACAUCAUGUCAAAAAUAGACUUGAGAUCCUGUUAUUUAUAUUACUGAAGUACUGAAUGGCCUUGCCUGAGAACAGGCUGUUCCAGCAUUAACUGGAGUGCUGUGUUUCAAUGGGAGAUGGUCUGUGCCAUGAAGAACUGACACGUGAGGUAAACAAGAAGGACAAGGAGUCUUCUGACAGCUGGAGCAGCCCACGACCACCAGCUGGAAGUGGUGAAGUACAAGUGGCAAAUCUAAGCCAUUUUCCAAGGAGAUGAGGAAACCCCUGUGGCUGUCAGAGCUACUUACUCACAGUGCCACAUCAGCAUGACAGCUCUGAAGAAGCGAGCAGCUGCAAGACGUGCCUUGCUUUGGGGAGGCUCAGCAACAGCUUCUCAGGAUAACGGCAUCUCUCCAUCUACAUCUCAGUGAUGAGUUGCAAACACAGUGCAAGUCAAUCUUUGCCAUCCAAAACAUGCUUAGUAAGAGCGGCAGCGUUUCUCUGAGAAGGUGUGGCAUUGAAUGCAAAUGAACAGUGUCUUGAGAUGGCAUUAAUUUAUGCCACAGAAAAAAAAAAAACCUCUUUCAUCUGCUCCACGUGCUACAUGACCAAAAAUGUGUUGACCUAUGUGUGGCCACACUCAGACCUCUACAAAUGGGGUUCCUUUGGAACUGUUUAUUUUCCACUCUCCAAGACCUUUCAUUGGAUGGAGCACGUUGAAAGGCAAGAAAGAAAGAAAGAAAGAAAGAAAGAAAGAAAGAAAAUAUAUGCUGAGUGACUCUGCGAGAAAGCAUGAGAAAGCCUUACAAGGCAAAAUAAAAAGAUCUGGGCUGUGGCUGGAGGCUUGGUUCCUACCCCAGCUCAGCACUGUGCUCAGCCCAUCCAUGUGCUGGGGAGAAGAGCUUCCCUUGCUGGCUCACAGCUCCCUCCUCGGGAGUGGUAUGUGUGCAUUGCUGGGCUGAAUUUGCUUUGCAAAUCUAUCUUUGUGUCUUCAGAUUAGCUUUAUUUGCUCAAGGAUUUUGGAGGUAAUGCGGGGGAAUAUUCAUGUUUCUGUUAGUUGAAGUUUCAGCUUUUUGUUAACAUCAUGCCAGUAUGACAAGCACAUAGUGGGUAUUUUCAGGCUAGAUGAUGCUUUGUUUUCUUUGCUUUUCUCUUGCAGUCAGUGACUACUGUGGGUACGUCUCCCCUGUGCUCAUUGCUGUGGCUGCAGCUGGGGCUGACCACUGGGUUGUGCUUUGGCUAGGUGGGUGCUGCUCAGCAGCACUGCUGUAAAACCACUGAGCCUGGCAGGUUCAGGAAGGUCAUCUGAGGACAUAUACAAACACUAACCCUCAGCACUCUGAGUGGGUGUGCUUUGGCUGUGCAGUGUGCUCUGCUAGCACAGCUGAUAGUACAGCCUUCAUCUUCCUGCAAGCACAAGUGCAUCCCUUUGCUCCAAAGCUCACUAUGAGACAGAAGCGUGGUGUGUGGUCUUUUAUCUGUAAAAGUUAAAUAAUCAUUUCUCACUGCUUGCUCCUCUGUGUAACCUGGCAUUAAUCUGAGAGAUGAUGCAAGUUGUGGAACCUGAUUGCCUGUGCUCUCAAGUUUGGAUGCAGGGAAGCAGGAAGUCGCUGGUCAUCCUGUGCCAGAGGAACUUUUGGAUGCUCUCCCACCAGCCAGUUUUAUUCCCAGCAGAAGAUACUGGCUCAUCAUAGGCUUAUUUAUUUAGAGCAGAAAGACUUAUCUCAGCAGGAAUUUUUGCCUCAGACCAGCCCUCCCCCAUGGGACUGGGACAUCUGCUGUCAGUCCACAUGACUCAGGACAGCCUAAUGACCUCAGCAUGUUGCUCCUGGUGAACAGGAGUUCCAGUCAAAGACCAAAGGCAGAUUCAGAGUCAAAGGGUGUCUUCAAGGUGGGGCUGGACUGGGCUCUGAGCACCUGAUCUAGCUGGAGAUUUCCCUGUUCAUUGCAGGAGAGUUGGACUAGAUGACCUUUAAAGGCCUCUUCCCAGCUCAAAUGAUUCUAUGAUGCUAUGAUCUUCAAAGCAUAGGAGGGCAGGAGGAGAAUCAGUAAUGGUUUCCAUAGCAUAAUAAAAUAAGUUGAAAUUGCACAAAGUGGCAAGUUGUGAUAUCAAAACAAUCUUUGGCUACCUCACAAACCAAGCUUGUGCUUUUUCACCAGCAACAUUUCUUAGAGAGACGUUAGAGAUGCUAGUGCAAAAGAACAAGAGGUGAUAGAGAGUACACUAUUGCUAUAGAUACUGGAGACUAUGGAAAUACUCAUGGUUUGCUUAAGACUCAGAGGGUGUGCGUGUUGCCCUUCCUCAAGCUACAAGAGAAGCAUAAUCCUGCUUGUGUUCUAGUGCCAGGCUGGCUGCCUGGGAUCCCAGUGGGCAUGGUAGCAACUACAUGGGAGAGCUGCAAGAGAAGAGCAUUCACCAAAGCGUGCUACAUGGACCUUAGGGAUCAAACAGUUUGUUAACAAAGCAGCCUUGCCUGAACCUUUGCCGAGGAUCAGAAAAGUCCCAGAGUUCUUCCUGAUGUCAGUCUUUGCCCUUUGUUGGCUCAGAAAUUGGAGAGGUGCCAUCCCACCUGCUCUGCUGCAGGACUCUGGAUAAUCGCACCUGAUCGGCGUUGGCAGGCAGCCACUGGAAACCGCUAGCAGCACGCUCAGAAACUGCACCAAGAGCGUGCAUUCAGUAUGGUGGUACUCAGGCACUGCAGACUCACACCAGAGAAGCCUUUGCUGGGAAUAUUUCAAAGCUGUAAAGAAGAAAUUAACACUGACACGUACCAGAGUGGAAUUCAAAGGAGAUGAAGUUACCUUUCAGUAUCUAUGUCUUAAAGCACCAAGAGAGCUCAGGUGUCUAACUCAGCCUUCUGGAUCAGCAGCGCUAAUGGAAAGGGGCUUGAUCUGAAGCAUGCUGGAGUAGGUGAAAGAGGAGAGCAAUAGCUGCAGUGCCAUCCCAUGGCUUUCAAGAGGAUGCUGCCUACAGGAGAGCUGGCUUGGAUCACAUGGGGAAAAGCACAGUAACUCCAGGGUGAAUCACCGAUGCCUGCAUAAGUCUGCUGUUAAUAAGGAGGGAGAUUAUCCAGGACAAACACUUGGAUCUCUUGGGUCUCUCUUGCUAACGAUAACGUAAUGUUCUUCACAAGUUACGUUAGCACCAAGAUAACGGGGAGCUGGGGAAAUGAGUGUAAUGUAAGCUGCUCUCAGCACUUGGGAGCUGGAUGGAUCCCAAAGGCUGGGGUGAUAUCCCCAUGUUAUGGCAGCUUGUCCUGCACCUCAAAGCACUUCCAAGUCCAGCCAGGAGCUGCUGCUUUCCUGUGAUAUAGUAAGAAAUGGAAACUUAAUGCCAACUUAUUUGCUGAACUUCAAUGAGAACCAUCACUUCUUCAUGGCCGUUAAGCACUGGGAUUCAGAUGUGAAGUUCUGGUUGAGCACAAAGAGGUGCCUGAUAAUGAAAGGGAAAGUGUAUCACAGUUCAAUGGAGGCAGCAGUGUAUACGUAUCCUUCCAGGAGGCGUGCAUUUCUCUUCAGGCUUCUCCUCCUCUGCUGGAGACUUCAUGAGAAAUCCCUUGUCCCAGGGUCCCAAAUUACUCAAAACAAGUGAAGGCACUGAAAUCACUACAGCAGGUAAGUGCAAACAAGUCAGAGGGCCAUCUGAAUAUCAGCCCUUUUGAGCUAUUUUCAGAACACAGGUUUUUAGUUCAGCCUUACAUGUUGUCCCAUCCCCACCCCAUUUUAAGCCUUCAUCAGUCUCUCCACUCAGCUUCCUCUACCCCUGCGGUCUUGCCUGUGGUCUCAGUAGGGUUUCUUCAGCAGAAAUAUAUAAUGACAUGAGAAUGUAUUGCUUUACUGUUGUGUGGAAGAAAAACUGGUUGCUCAUCCAGUGUUAAUUAGCUAUGGCUAUGUGGAAAGUGGCCCUUUUCUGAAAAAGUGAAAUAGAGACACUGUUGAAUGUGAUAAAAAGAGGGAGAGCCUUAUGAGUUAAAAUACAAUCAUAAAACACUCUCAAAAGUGCAGAAAUUACAGCUGGUAAUGGCCAUGUAUAAAAUGAUUGAAGAACUCAUUACUUAACCAGCCCGUUGAGUCUUGCAGUAAUUGUUCUCUAAUUGAAAUCAAUGACAAAAUCAUCACUGAUUUCCCAGGGUCUGGACAUGAACACAAACGCCUUCUAUUUGCCACAGGUUUGAACUGAAUUGUAAGCAUCUCUCAAAAAGGAGAUGAGAAUCCUGAGGAUGAUCUGCAUACGUUUUUACACCAGAACAAUUGGAAUUGCACAGAGCAAUGUUGAUUUCCACCUUCUGCCCUUUACAGAGGCCUUACUAGCUUGUGUUUCUUCCGUGCUUUGGUGGUCUCCAGACUGGGAGAUGUUUCUAUGUCUUUAUGCAGUGGUGGGA
rnacentral:lncRNA from 1 species